UCCUCGGUAGUAUAGUGGUGAGUAUCCCCGCAUCUCACGCAGGAGACCGGGGUUCGAUUCCUCGCCGGGGAG
rfam:Nematostella vectensis strain CH2 x CH6 NEMVEscaffold_9_Cont1981, whole genome shotgun sequence.